rnacentral:sRNA from 1 species
GCCAGGCACAGGGACGCAUGCCUGUAAUCCCAGCAGCUCAGAAGGCUGAGGCAGGAGGAUUGAGAGUUCAAAACCAGCCUCAGCAAAAGUGAGGCUCUCAGCAACUCAGUGAGACCCUGUCUCUA